UCGGGAAUUUUGGGCAAUGGGCGAAAGCCUGACCCAGCAACGCCGCGUGAAGGAUGAAGUAUUUCGGUAUGUAAACUUCGUAAGAAUAGGAAGAAUAAAUGACGGUACUAUUUGUAAGGUCCGGCUAACUACGUGCCAGCAGCCGCGGUAAUACGUAGGGACCAAGCGUUGUUCGGAUUUACUGGGCGUAAAGGGCGCGCAGGCGGCUUUGCAAGACAGAUGUGAAAUCCCCGGGCUCAACCUGGGAACUGCAUUUGUGACUGCAAGGCUAGAGUACGGUAGAGGGGGAUGGAAUUCCGCGUGUAGCAGUGAAAUGCGUAGAUAUGCGGAGGAACACCGAUGGCGAAGGCAAUCCCCUGGACCUGUACUGACGCUCAUGCACGAAAGCGUGGGGAGCAAACAGGAUUAGAUACCCAGGUAGUCCCUGAGCGGGCUGGCAAGGCGCAU
rnacentral:rRNA from 1 species